rnacentral:rRNA from 1 species
CAACUUUCAACAACGGAUCUCUUGGCUCUCGCAUCGAUGAAGAACGCAGCGAAAUGCGAUACGUAAUGUGAAUUGCAGAAUUCAGUGAAUCAUCGAAUCUUUGAACGCACCUUGCGCCCCUUGGUAUUCCGAAGGGCACACCCGUUUG